CAAAAUAAAACUUGCUUCGCAUAUUCUCACCCCACAAUUACAAACCCUCAUCAUCUAUCACCGCUUUAGCGAACCAAUUUGAAUAUCUCUCAAUGACUUAGUCCACAAGCUCGCCUCACUCAAAAACCUCCCUAAUCGUGACUUAUGCCAGUCCACCCUCAACAAAGUUUUCCGAGUCUGUUCCUUCAACCUCCUAACCAACCCCCACGACCACCUUAUUUAUCUUACCUACAACAUUCUCGCCCUCUCAAAAUUAUGUUCUUUCACGAAUUCUUCAAACG
rnacentral:lncRNA from 1 species